rnacentral:rRNA from 2 species
AGGGGCAUCAGGUAUCAGCUUGCUGAUACGCUGGCGACCGGCGCACGGGUGAGUAACGCGUAUGCAAUCUGCCUGUAACAGGGGGAUAACCCGGAGAAAUCCGGCCUAAUACCCCAUAAGGAUGUCUGUCCGCAUGGGCGGUCAUCUAAAGGUUUUCCGGUUACAGAUGGGCAUGCGUUCCAUUAGCUGGUUGGCGGGGUAACGGCCCACCAAGGCGACGAUGGAUAGGGGUUCUGAGAGGAAGGUCCCCACACUGGUACUGAGACACGGACCAGACUCC